UGGGGAAUAUUGCACAAUGGGCGCAAGCCUGAUGCAGCCAUGCCGCGUGUAUGAAGAAGGCCUUCGGGUUGUAAAGUACUUUCAGCGGGGAGGAAGGGAGUAAAGUUAAUACCUUUGCUCAUUGACGUUACCCGCAGAAGAGGCACCGGCUAACUCCGUGCCAGCAGCCGCGGUAAUACGGAGGGUGCAAGCGUUAAUCGGAAUUACUGGGCGUAAAGCGCACGCAGGCGGUUUGUUAAGUCAGAUGUGAAAUCCCCGGGCUCAACCUGGGAACUGCAUCUGAUACUGGCAAGCUUGAGUCUCGUAGAGGGGGGUAGAAUUCCAGGUGUAGCGGUGAAAUGCGUAGAGAUGUGGAGGAAUACCGGUGGCGAAGGCGGCCCCCUGGACAAAGACUGACGCUCAGGUGCGAAAGCGUGGGGAGCAAACAGG
rnacentral:rRNA from 1 species